UAUCCACUCUUGUCCUUUAGUUUUUCUCUCAUUAAUUCCAAAGAGAUUUCUAUCUCUUUUCCAAAACCCAAAUUCCAAACACAAAUUUUCAAGUCUAAUCAUCAUCCAUCAUAUAGAAACAAGCAUUUUUGAUAAGAGCAUCCAAUGCAUGGCCACCACAAAACCUGAACAAACGACAGCUAGUUAGAGAGUCUUGUCAUCCACCACCUCCACACCCAGAGCCGUUACAGAUGCUGCUGCCAGCACUGUAGGGAUUUGUGUACUAUGCGGUGGAUGAUGGCACGUGCAUCUAGAUUCCAAUUGAAAGUGAUGAUCACGCUCAGGCCAUUAAUUAAAAAACAUGACCAUGCAUUCUGGAGUUUACAUGUAAUCGAUAUAAAGUCUGAAAGAUGAAACUUUAAAUAUACGUAAUAAUUAAGCCAGAGUGAUGAUUAGGGGAGAUUAGGGAUAUGUAUUCUGCAUAUAAUAAAUGUAGGUGCGACAUUGAGAGUCCCUAAAGCGAUACUUAUAGCAACCAAAGCAGACACAAAAGGUUCCUUCCGCAUUUUUAAUCUCGUGUACACUUUCAGCAAGUUUUGCAACUUUCCCUUUCUUCAUCAACGUCACU
rnacentral:lncRNA from 1 species